ACGGGGGGUGCGAGCGUUGUUCGGAAUUAUUGGGCGUAAAGAGCGUGUAGGCGGCUGAAUAAGUCAGAUGUGAAAUCCCUGGGCUUAACCCAGGACGUGCAUUUGAAACUAUUCGGCUAGAGUAGGGGAGAGGAAAGUGGAAUUCCUGGUGGAGAGGUGAAAAGCGAAGAUAUCAGGAGGAAAACAGGGGGCGAAGGCGAAAAACUGGAAAAAAAAAGAGGCUGAGAAAAGAAAGCGUGGGUAGAAAAAAG
rnacentral:rRNA from 1 species